rnacentral:rRNA from 1 species
GAGUUUGAUCUUGGCUCAGAUUGAACGCUGGCGGCAGGCCUAACACAUGCAAGUCGAGCGGAUGAAGGGAGCUUGCUCCUGGAUUCAGCGGCGGACGGGUGAGUAAUGCCUAGGAAUCUGCCUGGUAGUGGGGGAUAACGUCCGGAAACGGGCGCUAAUACCGCAUACGUCCUGAGGGAGAAAGUGGGGGAUCUUCGGACCUCACGCUAUCAGAUGAGCCUAGGUCGGAUUAGCUAGUUGGUGGGGUAAAGGCCUACCAAGGCGACGAUCCGUAACUGGUCUGAGAGGAUGAUCAGUCACACUGGAACUGAGACACGGUCCAGACUCCUACGGGAGGCAGCAGUGGGGAAUAUUGGACAAUGGGCGAAAGCCUGAUCCAGCCAUGCCGCGUGUGUGAAGAAGGUCUUCGGAUUGUAAAGCACUUUAAGUUGGGAGGAAGGGCAGUAAGUUAAUACCUUGCUGUUUUGACGUUACCAACAGAAUAAGCACCGGCUAACUUCGUGCCAGCCGCCGCU